UAACACAGUUUGUGCUUUCAGCCUACAA
rnacentral:piRNA from 1 species